UACAGAGGGGGCAAGCGUUAUUCGGAAUUAUUGGGCGUAAAGGGCGCGUAGGCGGCUUGGCAAGUGGAAGGUGAAAUCCCUCGGCUUAACCGAGGAACUGCCCUCCAAACUGCUUCGCUUGAGACCGGGAGAGGUGAGUGGAAUUCCCAGUGUAGCGGUGAAAUGCGUAGAUAUUGGGAGGAACACCUGUGGCGAAAGCGGCGCACUGGACCACAACUGACGCUGAGGCGCGAAAGCUAGGGGAGCAAACAGG
rnacentral:rRNA from 1 species